AGAAUGUAACCCACAUGGAUAGCCAACUUGCCCAUUGUGAUGUACCAAUAAUUCUUUGGUGACCCCUAGAGGGCGCACGAGACAGGUUCAAACAAUCAAAUAAUAAUAAACAACUGCUACUACAAAUUAGAGACAGACGUCGGAACGGAUAACUAACGAUACAGAAAGAAAGAAGAAGAAUAUUAAUCAAAACAAGAAUAAUAUUGACCAAACAGAAAUCAAACACAUUUCUUUUGACCGAAAAGCUUCAAUCCUGAUAAACCACUUCCUGAACAAAGACCUCGUUGGACCAUCGUAACAGAUCGAAACAUAUUAAUCACUUGAAUCCUGACUGGUUUUUUGAUUACCCCUUCAACCACUCCUUGACCUACGCCUUGGAUACCUCAAAUUCCCUGCUGUGAUACCCUUCCCUGGACCAUCCUCAUCGCCAUUCUUCCUUGCAAUAUUCCCAGAAAUUGAACCCCCACCUUCAUCCACUUUCCACCCAGUGACUGUGGUAGGAUCUGGGCAAAUACACCCACACCCACGGACUGUGACAUUAAGGAAUUACAUCCACCACUAUUUUUUAUUUAAUUAUUUAUUUUGAGUGCUCUCUCUUUUAUUUUUGGGGUUUAUGUUUAUUUUGUUAUUUUAAGUUCAGAGAUCUCAAGGGAAUUAUUUAUUGAAAAGUUACCUAAGUGCCGGCACUUCUGAUAAACUGAUAUUAUAGUUAUAUGUUAAGAAUUGUAUUUUUAUUGUAUAA